rnacentral:rRNA from 1 species
ACGGGUGAGUAAUGUCUGGGAAACUGCCUGAUGGAGGGGGAUAACUACUGGAAACGGUAGCUAAUACCGCAUAACGUCGCAAGACCAAAGUGGGGGACCUUCGGGCCUCAUGCCAUCAGAUGUGCCCAGAUGGGAUUAGCUAGUAGGUGGGGUAACGGCUCACCUAGGCGACGAUCCCUAGCUGGUCUGAGAGGAUGACCAGCCACACUGGAACUGAGACACGGUCCAGACUCCUACGGGAGGCAGCAGUGGGGAAUAUUGCACAAUGGGCGCAAGCCUGAUGCAGCCAUGCCGCGUGUGUGAAGAAGGCCUUCGGGUUGUAAAGCACUUUCAGCGGGGAGGAAGGCGGUGAGGUUAAUAACCUCAUCGAUUGACGUUACCCGCAGAAGAAGCACCGGCUAACUUCCUGU